AUUAAACGCUGGCGGCAUGCCUUACACAUGCAAGUCGAACGGCAGCACGGGGGCAACCCUGGUGGCGAGUGGCGGACGGGUGAGUAAAGCAUCGGAACGUAUCCUGGAGUGGGGGAUAACGUAGCGAAAGUUACGCUAAUACCGCAUAUUCUGUGAGCAGGAAAGCAGGGGAUCGCAAGACCUUGCGUUCUGGGAGCGGCCGAUGUCGGAUUAGCUAGUUGGUGGGGUAAAGGCCUACCAAGGCGACGAUCCGUAGCGGGUCUGAGAGGAUGAUCCGCCACACUGGGACUGAGACACGGCCCAGACUCUUACGGGAGGCAGCAGUGGGGAAUUUUGGACAAUGGGCGCAAGCCUGAUCCAGCCAUGCCGCGUGAGUGAAGAAGGCCU
rnacentral:rRNA from 1 species